AAAUCAUGCAUAGGGCAUUUUCACAGUAAAUCUUUAAAUCACUCCCAAACUUCAGAUAAAUUCUCAUCUUCCAAUUGCUUAAAAGAUGUGAUGUCAUUCCUCAAUCA